rfam:Plasmodium knowlesi strain H chromosome 13, complete genome
ACGCAGGUGUAAAAUAUUCCUAGCGGGCAGGAUCUUUUCAACACAAUGGAAAUGAUCAUAAUCAGUCUAGGUAAUAAAAAAUAAAAAAAUAAAGAAAAAAUGUUGUAAUGAGUUUUAUUUAUGCUUUACAACGAUCUUUCUUUUUUUUUUUAACAU